rnacentral:snRNA from 1 species
GUGUUACUUCGGUAUCACAUAUACUAAAAUUGGAACGAUAGAGAAGAUUAGCAUGGCCCCUCGGAAUUACUCAAAUGGCCCAUUUAAUCAGUAAAUUUUU